AUUUUGUGGCGCUGGGUAGGGGCGCGGAUGGGGGAGGGGAGGAGAGGAAGGCUUCGCUGAGAGACGGUGAAGACGGGCACGGGCUUCCCUUCCCUCACACACACACGGCGCAAGAUGGCCGGGGAGGCAGCAGCUGCGGUCGGCUGCUGCCGCUGCCCUCCUUCCGCGGGCGCUGCGCUGCCCUCGCCCUUCCCUGGCCCGCGACGGCCCGCGGCUCGGGGGGCUCCGGCCGGGGCCCACCCCGGCUCGCGAGGGGUGGGGAGGUCCGUCCCGCCUCGCACGGAGGCGCGGGGCGGAUCGACGGCGAUGGAACCCCCAAGAGGCAGCUGAGGCGGCGGCCGGGCUGGCUCGGCUCGCCGCGCGGCUGCCUUGCAGGGGCGGCCGCGGGAAGCGCCGGCGUGGCGGCCCCCGCUCGGCGUGCCUGAGCCGCUCCCCUCGCCUCUCCGCUGAGGAUGGUAUUCUGCAAAUGUUUACCACUUCCAUAUGUAGUGGCUUUCAAGGGCUGUGCAGAAUGCUUUUUUAAGGUUUGCAUCAGGCUCUGAUUUCUGGAAAGAUUCAUAUAGAGCUUGAAGAGAACAUGAUGAUUGGUUCAGAGACCAGACAAAGGAAGAAUCUGAAAGGGAGACCACGAGUUCCAAAUCAAGAUGGCAGUUCUACUGAUUGAGAGGUUGAGGAAAUGAACUAAUGCAUGAUUGCUGAUUAUGUCCAUCCAAGACAGGGACACUUUAGCAUGGACUACGGUGUUUUCUAAACCAGAGAAGAUUUGGGCUAAUGACUGUGUGAUCAAUGUUUUUUUUUAUUAAAUAAUUCCAGUAUCUCGUACAAGAACUCAUUUGGAAGUGGAGGGAUGGAAUGGAUUGGCUAAAUUUCCAAACCAGGAUGUAUACAUAUGUUUGUGCCCAUUUUAUAUGACAGAAGUGCAAUGCUAUUUUAAAAGUUAAAUAAAAGUGUUUUUUUUACA